GCAUAUCAAUAAGCGGAGGAAAAGAAACCAACAGGGAUUGCCCUAGUAACGGCGAGUGAAGCGGCAACAGCUCAAAUUUGAAAGCUGGCUCUCGGGCCCGCAUUGUAAUUUGCAGAGGAUGCUUCUGGCGACGCGCCUUCCGAGUUCCCUGGAACGGGACGCCAUAGAGGGUGAGAGCCCCGUCCGGUCGUGCGCCUAGCCUCUGUGAAGCUCCUUCGACGAGUCGAGUAGUUUGGGAAUGCUGCUCAAAAUGGGAGGUAUACGUCUUCUAAAGCUAAAUACCGGCCAGAGACCGAUAGCGCACAAGUAGAGUGAUCGAAAGAUGAAAAGCACUUUGAAAAGAGAGUUAAAAAGUACGUGAAAUUGUUGAAAGGGAAGCGCUCAUGACCAGACUUGGGCUGGCUCGAUCAUCCGGCGUUCUCGCCGGUGCACUCGGGCCGCUCAGGCCAGCAUCAGCUUCCGCCGGGGGAUAAAGGCGGUGGGAAUGUGGCUCCCUCGGGAGUGUUAUAGCCCGCCGUGCAAUACCCUGGUGGGGGCUGAGGUUCGCGCGUAUGCACGGAUGCUGGCGUAAUGGUCAUCAGCGACCCGUCUUGAAACACGGACCAAGGAGUCGUCUUCGUAUGCGAGUGUUCGGGUGUCAAACCCCUACGCGGAAUGAAAGUGAACGCUGGUGAGAGCUUCGGCGCAUCACCGACCGAUCCUGAUGUUCUCGGAUGGAUUUGAGUAAGAGCAUACGGGGCCGGACCCGAAAGAAGGUGAACUAUGCCUGUAUAGGGUGAAGCCAGAGGAAACUCUGGUGGAGGCUCGCAGCGGUUCUGACGUGCAAAUCGAUCGUCAAAUAUGGGCAUGGGGCGAAAGACUAAUCGA
rnacentral:rRNA from 1 species